rnacentral:rRNA from 1 species
AUUGAACGCUGGCGGCAUGCUUUACACAUGCAAGUCGAGCGGCAGCGCGGGGGCAACCCUGGCGGCGAGCGGCGAACGGGUGAGUAACGCAUCGGAACGUAUCCUGUAGUGGGGAAUAACUCAUCGAAAGGUGAGCUAAUACCGCAUAAGCUCUGAGGAGGAAAGCGGGGGACCGAAAGGCCUCGCGCUGCGGGAGCGGCCGAUGUCCGAUUAGCUAGUUGGUGAGGUAAAGGCUCACCAAGGCGACGAUCGGUAGCUGGUCUGAGAGGAUGAUCAGCCACACUGGGACUGAGACACGGCCCAGACUCCUACGGGAGGCAGCAGUGGGGAAUUUUGGACAAUGGGGGAAACCCUGAUCCAGCCAUGCCGCGUGAGUGAAGAAGGCCUC